AGUGAACGCUGGCGGCGUGCUUAACACAUGCAAGUCGAACGAGAACGGAAUAUAGCUUGCUAUAUUUGUCAGCUAAGUGGCGCACGGGUGAGUAAUGUAUAGAUAACCUGCCCUUAAGAAAGGAAUAACAGUUGGAAACGACUGCUAAUGCCCUAUAUGCCUUUAAUACGUAAGUAUGCAAGGGAAACGCUUUAGUGCCUAAGGAUGGGUCUGUAUGGUAUCAGCUUGUUGGUGAGGUAAUGGCUCACCAAGGCUAUGACGCCUAACUGGUUUGAGAAGAUGAUCAGUCACACUUGAACUGAGACACGGUCCGGACUCCUACGGGAGGCAGCAGUGGGGAAUAUUGCACAAUGGACGAAAGUCUGAUGCAGCAACGCCGCGUGGAGGAUGACACAUUUCGGUGCGUAAACUCCUUUUAUAUAGGAAGAUAAUGACGGUACUAUAUGAAUAAGCACCGGCUAACUCCGUGCCAGCCGCCGCCGUAA
rnacentral:rRNA from 1 species